rnacentral:rRNA from 1 species
CACUCCUACGGGAGGCAGCAGUGGGGAAUAUUGGACAAUGGGCGCAAGCCUGAUCCAGCCAUGCCGCGUGAGUGAUGAAGGCCCUAGGGUUGUAAAGCUCUUUCACCGGUGAAGAUAAUGACGGUAACCGGAGAAGAAGCCCCGGCUAACUUCGUGCCAGCAGCCGCGGUAAUACGAAGGGGGCUAGCGUUGUUCGGAUUUACUGGGCGUAAAGCGCACGUAGGCGGACUAUUAAGUCAGGGGUGAAAUCCCGGGGCUCAACCCCGGAACUGCCUUUGAUACUGGUAGUCUUGAGUUCGAGAGAGGUGAGUGGAAUUCCGAGUGUAGAGGUGAAAUUCGUAGAUAUUCGGAGGAACACCAGUGGCGAAGGCGGCUCACUGGCUCGAUACUGACGCUGAGGUGCGAAAGCGUGGGGAGUAAACAGGAUUAGAUACCCUUGUAGUCCC